rnacentral:rRNA from 1 species
GAGCGAACGCUUGCGGCGGGCUUAACACAUGCAAGUCGAGCGCAUGGCUUCGGCCAUGAGCGGCGAACGGGUGAGUAACACGUAGGUCAUCUGCCUUUCGGUGGGGGAUAACUGGGGGAAACCCUAGCUAAUACCGCAUGCGGCCUAAGGGUCAAAGCAGCAAUGCGCCGGAAGAUGAGCCUGCGUCCGAUUAUUUAGUCCUAGUUGGCGGGGUAACGGCCCACCAAGGGUACGAUCGGUAGCUGGUCUGAGAGGAUGAUCAGCCACACUGGAACUGAGACACGGUCCAGACUCCUACGGGAGGCAGCAGUGGGGAAUAUUGCGCAAUGGGGGAAACCCUGACGCAGCCACGCCGCGUGAGUGAUGAAGGCCUUCGGGUUGUAAAGCUCUGUCGGGAGGGAAGAAGUUCUGACGGUACCUCCCAAGAAAGCGCCGGCUAACCCUGUGCCAGCAGCCGCGGUAAUACAGGGGGCGCGAGCGUUGCUCGGAAUUACUGGGCGUAAAGCGUACGCAGGCGGACCGAUAAGUCGGGCGUGAAAUCCCAGGGCUCAACCCUGGAGCUGCGCUCGAGACUGUCGGUCUUGAGUACGGGAGAGGUGGGUGGAAUUCCUGGUGUAGCGGUGAAAUGCGUAGAUAUCAGGAGGAACACCGGUGGCGAAAGCGGCCCACUGGCCCGAUACUGACGCUCAUGUACGAAAGCGCGGGGAGCAAACAGGAUUAGAUACCCUGGUAGUCCGCGCCGUAAACGAUGAGUGCUGGCUGCUGGGACUCCUUUUAGGUCUCAGUGGCGUAGCUAACGCGUUAAGCACUCCGCCUGGGAAGUACGGCCGCAAGGCUAAAACUCAA